rnacentral:rRNA from 1 species
UACGUAGGGUGCGAGCGUUAAUCGGAAUUACUGGGCGUAAAGAGCUCGUAGGCGGUUUGUCGCGUCUGCUGUGAAAACCCGAGGCUCAACCUCGGGCCUGCAGUGGGUACGGGCAGACUAGAGUGCGGUAGGGGAGAGUGGAAUUCCCGGUGUAGCAGUGAAAUGCGUAGAUAUCGGGAGGAAUACCGAUGGCGAAGGCAGGUCUCUGGGCUGACACUGACGCUCAUGCACGAAAGCGUGGGGAGCAAACAGG